AACCCGAGUCAACUCGGGUCAACAGCGGUCAACUCGAAGAACCGGAAUGCUUUAGUUGCACGCUAGCGAGUUCACAUUCGUGGGAUGACACUACGGAAUCACAUUUAGCUAGCUAUGCACAGGAAUAUACAGGCUGCAUUUUUCAAAACUACGGAACGGUUGGAAUAGGAGAACCCACGAGAUUUCGAGUACUUUGCGGGCGUUCAUUGUUUAGAAGUCUUAGCUUUUUGCUUCCGCUGUGCAAUGAAGAUACCGGUCCAGUCACGCCAGC